UACGUAGGGGGCAAGCGUUGUCCGGAUUUAUUGGGCGUAAAGAGCGUGUAGGCGGCUAGAUAGGUCCGUUGUGAAAACUCGAGGCUCAACCUCGAGACGUCGAUGGAAACCAUCUGGCUAGAGUCCGGAAGAGGAGAGUGGAAUUCCUGGUGUAGCGGUGAAAUGCGCAGAUAUCAGGAAGAACACCCGUGGCGAAGGCGGCUCUCUGGGCCGAUAUUGACGCUGAGGAGCGAAAGCGUGGGGAGCGAACAGG
rnacentral:rRNA from 1 species